rnacentral:tRNA from 1 species
UAGCGCAGCUGGUUGAGCAUCUGACUUUUAAUCAGGCGGUCUGGAGUUCGAAUUCUCCA